rnacentral:rRNA from 1 species
UACGAAGGGGGCUAGCGUUGUUCGGAUUUACUGGGCGUAAAGCGCACGUAGGCGGAUCGUUAAGUCGGGGGUGAAAUCCUGGAGCUCAACUCCAGAACUGCCUUCGAUACUGGCGAUCUUGAGUCCGGAAGAGGUGAGUGGAACUCCUAGUGUAGAGGUGGAAUUCGUAGAUAUUAGGAAGAACACCAGUGGCGAAGGCGGCUCACUGGUCCGGUACUGACGCUGAGACACGAAAGCGUGGGUAGCAAACAGG